UCACGGAAGUGGCCGGGCGGCGGCGCGCCGGGCCCGGGCAGUGCUUGCUCCUGCUGGGGCGCUGCGGUAGCGCCCGGGUCCCGGCGUCGCCAUGACCAGCGAGCUGGACAUCUUCGUGGGGAACACGACCCUCAUCGACGAGGACGUGUAUCGCCUCUGGCUGGACGGUUAUUCGGUGAGCGACGCGGUGGCCCUGAGGGUGCGCUCGGGAAUCCUGGAGCAGACCGGCGCCACAGCAGCGGUGCUGCAGAGCGACACCAUGGACCACUACCGUACUUUCCAAAUGCUUGAGCGCCUGCUACACGCCCCGCCCAAGCUGCUGCACCAGCUCAUCUUUCAGAUCCCGCCCUCUCGACAGGCGCUGCUCAUCGAGAGGUACUAUGCCUUUGACGAGGCCUUUGUGCGGGAGGUGCUGGGCAAGAAGCUGUCCAAGGGCACUAAGAAAGACCUGGAUGACAUCAGCACCAAAACAGGCAUCACCCUCAAGAGCUGCCGGAGACAGUUUGACAACUUUAAGCGAGUCUUCAAGGUGGUGGAGGAAAUGCGGGGCUCCCUGGUCGAUAACAUCCAGCAACACUUCCUCCUGUCCGACCGGCUGGCCAGGGACUAUGCAGCCAUCGUCUUCUUUGCCAACAAUCGUUUUGAGACAGGGAAGAAAAAACUGCAGUAUCUGAGCUUUGGGGACUUUGCCUUCUGUGCUGAGCUCAUGAUCCAGAACUGGACCCUCGGAGCCGUCGGUGAGGCCCCCACCGACCCAGACCCCCAGGCGGAUGACAUGGACAUGGACUUAGACAAGGAGUUUCUCCAGGACUUGAAGGAGCUCAAGGUGCUUGUGGCUGACAAGGACCUUCUGGACCUGCACAAGAGCCUGGUGUGCACUGCCCUCCGGGGAAAGCUCGGGGUCUUCUCUGAGAUGGAAGCCAACUUCAAGGUCUGUGGCCCAAUCCAGCCUCUGUCCCAUUGGCAUCGUCAGCCUCCAGAGCACUGUCCCCUCCGGGCAGCUCUGCUCAUGCCUGAGAUUGACCGGCAGGUGGCGCUGCUGCUCCCUCUGCCUGCCUGUGAAGGGGGAGCCAGCUCUUAAACAAUGGGGAGUUAUUUGAUUGAGGGAGGUGGAUAGAUUUGGGCUCAGCCCCCAGCCUCUUGGGCAGAAGGCAGAACUCCCAGGCUCCCUGCCCCACAGAACCUGUCCCGGGGGCUGGUGAAUGUGGCCGCCAAGCUGACCCACAAUAAGGAUGUCAGAGACCUGUUUGUGGACCUUGUGGAGAAGUUCGUGGAACCCUGCCGCUCCGACCACUGGCCGUUGA